GAUGAACGCUGGCGGCGUGCCUAAUACAUGCCAGUCGAGCGAACAGACGAGGAGCUUGCUCCUUUGACGUUAGCGGCGGACGGGUGAGUAACACGUGGGUAACCUACCUAUAAGACUGGGAUAACUUCGGGAAACCGGAGCUAAUACCGGAUGAUAUUUCGAACCGCAUGGUUCGAUAGUGAAAGAUGGCUCUGCUAUCACUUAUAGAUGGACCUGCGCCGUAUUAGCUAGUUGGUAAGGCAACGGCUUACCAAGGCAACGAUACGUAGCCGACCUGAGAGGGUGAUCGGCCACACUGGAACUGAGACACGGUCCAGACUCCUACGGGAGGCAGCAGUAGGGAAUCUUCCGCAAUGGGCGAAAGCCUGACGGAGCAACGCCGCGUGAGUGAUGAAGGUCUUCGGAUCGUAAAACUCUGUUAUUAGGGAAGAACAAACGUGUAAGUAACUGUGCACGUCUUGACGGUACCUAAUCAGAAAGCCACGGCUAACUACGUG
rnacentral:rRNA from 1 species